rnacentral:rRNA from 1 species
UACGGAGGGUGCAAGCGUUAUCCGGAUUCACUGGGUUUAAAGGGUGCGUAGGCGGGUAUGUAAGGCAGGGGUGAAAUCCCCGAGCUUAACUCGGGAACUGCCAUUGAUACUAUAUAUCUUGAAUAUUCUGGAGGUAUGCGGAAUAUGUCAUGUAGCGGUGAAAUGCUUAGAGAUGACAUAGAACACCUAUUGCGAAGGCAGCAUACUACGGAAAGAUUGACGCUGAGGCCCGAAAGUGUGGGGAUCAAACAGG